rnacentral:rRNA from 1 species
GUAGUGGCAAGCGUUGUCCGGGAAUUAUUGGGGCGUAAAGCGCGCGCAGGCGGUUCUUUAAGUCUGAUGUGAAAGCCCACGGGCUCAACCGUGGAGGGUCAUUGGAAACUGGAGAACUCGAGUACAGAAGAGGAAAGCGGAAUUCCACGUGUAGCGGUGAAAUGCGUAGAGAUGUGGAGGAACACCAGUGGCGAAGGCGGCUUUCUGGUCUGUAACUGACGCUGAGGCGCGAAAGCGUGGGGAGCAAACAGGAUUAGAUACCCUGGUAGUCCACGCCGUAAACGAUGAGUGCUAAGUGUUAGGGGGUUUCCGCCCCUUAGUGCUGCAGCUAACGCAUUAAGCACUCCGCCUGGGGAGUACGGCCGCAAAGGCUGA